rnacentral:rRNA from 1 species
UACAGAGGGUGCAAGCGUUGUUCGGAAUUACUGGGCGUAAAGCGCGUGUAGGCGGCGGCGUAAGUCGGGUGUGAAAUCCCUCAGCUCAACGUGAGGAAGUGCACUCGAUACUGUGUCGCUUGAAUGUCGGAGGGGAUGGCGGAAUUCCCGGUGUAGAGGUGAAAUUCGUAGAUAUCGGGAGGAACACCUGUGGCGAAGGCGGCCAUCUGGACGACGAUUGACGCUGAGACGCGAAAGCGGUGGGUAGCAAACAGG